GGGUGAAGAUUAGGGCUUAUGAGUCAGGAAGACCUCACUUGGGAUGUCAGCCAUGUGACCUUGGGCAGUGCUGGUUUUAAAGCAUGUGCCACCACUGCCCUGCUGCUGAACUCCUAAGACCACAAGAGACAGGCGUCAAGUAUCGGUCUCAAAGCUGGCUGGAAGUCACAGGAUCUAGGCCUGUUCCAGAUCACCAGUGUAGCACCUGGAAGUCUCCAGUCUUUAUGCUAACAUGAAGAAAGGCCCUGGGGCAGCAGGGAUUUUCGUAUCUGUUGCAGGACUCCUACGGUGGAUCUUGACAUACUGGAAUCAAUUCUUUACCUAUUCACCACCAACUUUUCCCAGUUGGUAUUUUGGAGCAAAUGUCCCAGCCUGGUCUGCUAAGACCCUCCGCUGAGCUGGGCUUCCAGCCUAGAACUCUAGAGGAAUGUGGCUUCUAAUCUGUAAGGUCCUAGCCACUUGGAAAAGCACACCUUUUAGCCUACUCCAACACAAAUAGCUGUUUGCCCUUUGACUCUGCUUCCUUGCACGUAGCUCACAACCCAGUGGGAUUGCCUGUGCGAUAACAAACUCCUUCCAAAGUGUGCUGGAGUUCACGAUAAUGAGGUGAAACUCCAAGACAUCUUCAGGAUGGGGGUUGGUUGCCAGAAAAACCAACACUUAAUUAAAGGGUGGGGAUGCCCAGCCUCACUGUCUGACCUCCAGGGAGGGGAGAGGCACCAGGGGUUGAAGUGUGAGUUGAAGUGUGAGUUGAAUUAUGAAGCCCAAGGCUGUUCCCUGUUGGUGAAGAAACACCUCGCCUUACACGUCUGUUGACUGUUCUGACACAUGACCUCAGUCAUAAAGCCAUGACCUUGUGUUCCCUGCAUUCUGUUCUCAUGGAUGGUCGUUCUCAGAAGGAUGCCAUUAGAAUCCUCAUUUUGUGGUCAACUAGAUAGAAAUGUAGGUCAUCUGGGGACCCUGCCUUGGUGGGGGUACUUUGCAUAGAAAUAAACCCUUUAAUUUCUGAAAUCUAAUGCAACUCCAAGAAGAGUGUGUCAGAAUUAGGUACCAGGUUAUGGGAGAAAUUGGGUGGAAAAAUAGCAUGUAUUUGGCGCCACCUCCCUCCACCCUACACACAUUAAGUUCAGAAGUGAUGUCAGAAAGAAUCCCUCCCACACAAGGGUUAUUCACAAGGAAACAUGAACCUGACUUGAGGGAAGUGAGUCACAGAGCAGCCCAUGUAGCUCACGUUGCUUAUGGCUGAUGUAAAGACCUUCUAGCCUUGGAAACAAGCCUCGGAAAAACAACACACACACUCAUGCACGCACUCAGUCAUUCACAUAUGCACGUACACACCCACUCACACACACACACAAACCACACACCAUACACACCAUAUACACCACACAUACCAUACUA